CAGCAGCAGCCGCGGGAAUACGAAGGGUGCAAGCGUUACUCGGAAUUACUGGGCGUAAAGCGUGCGUAGGUGGUGGUUUAAGUCCGUUGUGAAAGCCCUGGGCUCAACCUGGGAAUUGCAGUGGAUACUGGGUCACUAGAGUGUGGUAGAGGAUAGUGGAAUUUCCGGUGUAGCAGUGAAAUGCGUAGAGAUCGGAAGGAACAUCUGUGGCGAAGGCGACUAUCUGGGCCAACACUGACACUGAGGCACGAAAGCUAGGGGAGCAAACAGGAUUAGAUAUCCCCGUAGUCCCUGUCUCUUAUAC
rnacentral:rRNA from 1 species